GUGCACACGUACGCACGCACACAGUACACACAUGUGCACACGUACACACGCGUGCCUGCUGCUCCUCAGCUCACCGAGCUCCCCUGUGACUCUCCUGUCUCCCAUCUAGACCAGGAGCUCCCUGAGGGUAGGGACCGUAUCUCAUUUUCUGUUUUCCCCAUGCCUGGCAUCCGACAGGCACCAGUACAUGUUUGGUGAAUAAAUUAAUGAGUGCGAGGGACGAGCAUCUUGCUCCGUGGUGGUCGCGGUAUUUGAUGUGUUCUGUGGGAUGAAAGGUACAUUAAAAACUUUUAGAAAAGAGCUGGAGAGUGCAGGAGGCAAGUGGAGGUCUCUAAAUCCCAUGGCCUUACGGGUGGCGUCACGGAAAGGGGCUCUGGGUUUCUGGGGAUGGAAAUAAGGAUUUUUCUCCCUGCAUUAUCCCUCUCCCCCCUCCCCAGCAGAAGAGCCAGCAGCCUAGGUUCCAAGCUUUGGAGGCCUUCGUUACAGGCCCCAGAGUCCUCUCCUCCCUGUCCUUUGUUUCCUAGUCUGCUGGAGGAGGGUGGAGAAAAGAGGGCCCCAGGGGCCAGGGAGGGGUGGGAGCCAGCGAGGGUCAUAGGACUGUAGGGUCCUGAACCUGUUUGAAGACCCUCGCCCUCAGAAGGGGGCACACAGGGAGGCUGGGCUCAGGGCCCAGGACGCCAGGCUGCAGGCUCGGAGGCAGUGGGGCCUCGGGCUGUGCUGUGCAGCUGGGCCAGUGGACAUCUCAGCAGGAGCAGUGGGGAUUUUGCACAUUGCAGGGUCGGGGUGAGGGCCCAGGAGUAACUGACAGCGCAUUUCUCCCUGCGUGGCAGGUGGGUUGAAUUUGGUUUAGGAAUACACACGCUCAUAAUCAGGCCUCACACAGGUCACCCACGAUCGCCUCUGCUGAACAGACGGGGGGCUGGGUGUGGAACAGGACCCUCGCCUGGAUGACAGCUAGAGAGAAGCAGGGUUUGUGUUUCUCCUCACUUUGCAGGCACACCCUCCCUGGCAGCAGGGCAGGCCCACAUUCCCAACCUGAUUCUGUCCAAACUUGAGACUUUCUCCUAGAAAUGUCACCAAACUCCCCCUAGAGUCACCCUCCCUGUCCUGCUCCAGGAGCCCAGGGCAUCCCUGGAGGAGGUUUCCUGCCCACUCUUCUCCGAUCCUUACCUGCUCCUGGAGCCCAGAGGUGGCAGGUGGUGGGUGGCAUUCAGAGGAGCCCUUCCACUUGUCCGAGGCCAAGCAGGCUCUCAGCAAUGGCCAGGACUCGACCCAGGUCUCCAGACUCCGAGGUCUGGCCCAUCCUGCUGCCCUGGCCUCAACUGCUGGGCAGCUCAGGUUGCCCCAAAGAGACCAGUGAGCUGAGACAUGGGAUGGGGACACUUGGCUUCCCAGCUCUGGGCGUCAACUGCUAGUUACACUUUCCACUGGUCUUACCACUCCGGGCAGGCCGUCUGUGUCUGUGUCCCUGGUAGGAGAGGGUGGCAGUCAAAAUGGGACGGUAAGGGGGGCUCAGGGACCCUAACACAUGGGUGUUGGCAGUCAACCACCCAAAUCCUCUCUGGAGCUAGUUGCUCAGAGCUCAGUGCCAAGAGCCAUGGGUGGGUGGCACUCAGGAACCAGAGGUAGUGGCCUCACCCCAGGCAGCUCCCUCACCCCAGUGAGCAAACACAGUAUAGGAGCUUGUGUACAUGUGACUCUGGCACAAAGAGGCCAACCAAAGCCUCUGAGCUGGGUGUGGUGGGUGUUGGCGGCCCAGUGGUGGUGAGUGGUGGUGACAGGAUGCCUCGUUUCCCUGGCAACCUAGUGGAGGCUGUUCCACAAAUACCAGCCAGUGGCUGCCGCCGCUGGACGGCUGGGAGCACUGAGAUCUGAGAUCCGAGUCUGCCCGGCUGCCACCAGGUGCAGGGGGGCCCUGGCCCCCUCCUCAGCGGCCGUCCUCUGUGGUUGGUUCUGCGUGUAUUUAUUUUGUCAUUCAGCAAAUCCCUUACAUCUCUGCGUACCCAUCUGUGCAUCUUGGUACAGUCUCUGCCAGGAAUGUCCUUUCUCCUUUGACUGGUGAACUCCUCCUCCAACCUCAAUGUCCACUUCAAAUAGCCCCGCGUAUGGUCACAUGACCAUCCCGAGGUAAGCUCAGGACAGUCAGUGGAAAAGAUAAGCUUUAUUCAAAAGGCCUCAAGGAAGGUCUAGGCGAGCAGAUCAGGACAGAGGGAACAGGUCAGGUCAAGGACAGGACUUCGGGGUGAAUAAACCGUUAAGACUCUCCAUCAACUGUCUUUAGAGGCAUCGCAGAAGGAACACUAUCUUGCCCUGACUGGGUGGCCUGGGACAAGCCCCUUUUCCUCUCCAAGCCCCAGAAUCCCCUUUCCUAAAAUGGGGACAUCAGAGAAGGUAAUUCUUAAAGGCCCUCCCAGUGCUGACAACUUCAUGACUCUGUGAUUCUGGGGUGCCCUUUCCUCUCUCUCUGAGGGUUACCUAUCUUCCUGGGGAGCUUACAUCCUACCUGUCUGUCUCCCAGGCCGGCCUCUGUCCCGCUGGCCUCAGCCUGAGGCAGGGCUGUCUUUACUAGGUUUUCUAGCGUGGGAUCCACCGGCCGCUCUCCCCGGAGAGUCCCACAUGUCUCCCCAGUCUACCUGGGGUCUCUGCCACUUCCACCCUCACUCUUGCCAGGACUUUCUCAAGGAUCUACAACAGCUACUCACUUCCUUUUUUUCUCAGAUUCUCUCCAAACUCUUUCCCCGGCCUCAAAAGGAUUUUACUCCUUCUGUGGUAGGAAAACCACCGUGUGGUUAAUGGCGUGAACUCCACGCUCUGAGGCCUCUGGACUUUGUUCAUGUUACUGAAACCAGGCUUCCGGGAAAAGACGGCAGAAAGAACAUCUAGUCUUACUCUCUCCCAAAACCUCACGAGGGCUAUGGUAAAGAGAUCCACAUAUGCACGCGCACGCACACACACACGCGCACGCGUGCGCACGCCAGGAGAGCAGACCACAGCAAGGUUUGAGAAGCUGGGAAGCAGGUGGAAGAAUGGAACUGACUUAGCAGAUCCCAGAAAGUGAAAUCUCAAACCCACAGGGAAGAAAACUAAGAACUAGAGUUGUGCGUCUCAGAAUUCUCAAGGAACUAGAAGUAUCAGGAAACUUUAGAAGUCGGAGUAAAGGCGUGGCUGAAAUGAGGAGGGUUAAUCUAAAGUAGCCAAAGAAGGAGGUGGGUCCUGGGGUCCCCUCCACUCCUCACUAAUGGGCAACUGCCCAUUCCCACCCCAAGGGAAGACUGGAGAUUUACACCCUGGAAAAAGGUAAAAAGUGACCCUUUGGAUUGGAGGAUAUGGGGUCUCACCACAAACGGCGGGAUUAAGUUAAUGUGGGAACUCUGAAUGCUAAGGUCAUACCCCCAGGCCCCCUGCCUGAAGCCUGGGGGCUAAGCCUUCACUCUGGGGGUGGAAGGGGGCCGCUGGAAAUGUCCUCUCUGGAGAAAGGAGCCCUGGUGAGCGUCUGUUCUCACUCGUGCAUUCAGACCACACCACGACCCAUCACCAUGACAUUUCAGAUUACUGUGGCCCAAGAGCAGAUCCUACCGGCUUCCAGAGAGAGGAAACAAGUCACAUUCAAAAGUCGAGGCACGAGUUCGGGUUCUUACAGAGGCCCUGGAAGCUAGAAGACCUUUCAAAAUUCAAGGGAUAAUGAUUUACGAUCUAGAAUCCUAUAAACAGUGAAACACUUUGUCAAGUGAGAAGUUAGAAUAAGGACGCUUCCAGACACGCAAGAACUCAAAAUACUUGCCUUCAAUAACUCUCUUCUUGGAAACCUCUAGAGAAUGUGGUCCCUCAAAAGGAGUAACCCAAGAAAGAAGAGGCCACCGGACCCAGGAACCAGGUGUUCCGACACAGAAGAGCAGCAGAGGAAGCGCCUCUGCAGAAGCCAAGACAGAGGCCGGGCCACAGCUGAGCUCGGGACACGGGGUGGCAGGUCCUGAUCAGGGCGGUGCAGAAGCACUGGAGAGAUGGGCUUCUCCAGGAAGAUGAAACCGAGAGAGCCCCAGACACAACUGAAUGUCUCGGGAAGACCCUUUGACAACUGGCAAAAAGCCUGCAGUGGAAUCGGUGAUAAAUGCACGGAGAAUCAGGCUAUGAAACAACACGGUGAUUAAUUUCAGGGAUAACAAUACUCUGCAGAGAAGGAGAAGGAGUCGUAAGUCAUAGUUCACCACACUUUUCAACUAUAGAAAGUGUUUCCAUGGCUUAAUAAUAUAAAGAGUGGCUGGAUCGAAGCAAAAUUGCAUCACAGUUCAACGGGGACCAAGGGGUAUGGGAAGGGUUCACACGUCCCUGAGGAGCAGCGGGUGGAAGUCAGGAGACAGUGUCCACACGGAAAAAUUAAACAGUGGGUGUGCACGCGUGUAUCUGAGACGCAGAGGCCAGCCCAGAUCCUCGGGGAGCAAGUGACUGCUUCGGGGCGGGAAACAUGGGCGGAGGGUCCGGGGCUCCUGUUGUGUUUUCACAGCCCACCAUCUAGAGCACUCUGCCCCCUUAGUAGAUGCAGCGCGUGAAACUGAGAGCACAGGGGAGCGCAGGUGGCUGAGGCUCCUCGCUCGGGUGAGGUGAGCAACGGCCUCGUGGAGAGCCCUGGACAGCACGGAGGGGCACAUGCCUGUGGACCGGGAUCUACUUCUGGAGCCUGAGUUGCCAAAUUACAGGCUUCCUGAGGCAGCCUACAGUGCAGAGGCCCAGAACCAGUGAGAAUCCCGAAGCGUCUCAAGUCCCACCCUCCAGGACAAUGACGGGAACACAGCAGCAAGCAGUGGCACUUUCCAGCCUGGCCUCACCGUGGACGGCGGUCACCCACACCUGAUGCAGCCCCAGGUCCCAACCUGCCCUGGCCUGGCGCCCCUUGGGUGCUCUGAACGUUUGCUUGAAUUCAUGUCAUAGACAAAACGUUGAGCUAAAUUUGAUCUCAAACCUGGUGUGGCGGGGGGAGGGUAGGGGGGUGGUGUAAGUCUUUUUAAGGCCAUCUUCAGGCUGUAAGUAACAAAAUUAAUACACAUGUGUGUUCUGGCCCCGGACUUACCCUUUCUGAUCCUCACAUCCUCUAAGGAUGUUAUAAGGGAGGCGUUUUAAUUUUUCUCUUUGCGCAGAAGGCAAAACUCAGAGUCUGGGAGGUUAAAGCAUGAACCCAAGGCCGCGGGGCUCCUUGUGGAGCCUGAGAAGAUAUUCUCAAACUCCCCCAGCUGUGCACGGGGCAUUUUAUUUAUUUGUUGCUUUUUAUUUCACCUUUAAUUUCUGUUUCCAUCAGGCCUCCCAGAACCCACAGCAGGGAGGAGGGAGGCUGAGGCGUCCAGGCACUGGAGACGAUGAGGAGACCGGGGCUCAGCAGGUGAAAAACAUCAAAUCCAGGCCAGAGGUCUGGUCCAUUUAGCUCCAAAGCCUGUGCUUUCCACAGUACGAGCUGCCCUUCCACAUCCUAUCGCAGACAGGUGGUACGGUUAACUGGACUAACUACAGCUCCUGUGAAGACAGAUCUUACUGCACUUGGCUCUUCAGGGGGGCAAAACAGCGUGGCCUGUUCCAUAUGUCUGCCCACCAGGAACAGCGAGGCCACAGCUUACAGCCUCCUGCUUUCCCGGACAGUGUGUUUCUUCCCACUGUUCUCGGCGAGGAGUGGCCCCAGCCCUGUUGGCUCCUGUCAUUCCUGGCUGGUCCCCCGUGAUCAAGCCGGGAAGGGCAGGUGGUCGGAACAGCAGCGUGUGUGUGUUGAGCUUGUGACUGUAACUCUGGGUGCGUGUGUCUGUCUGUCUGUCUGUGUGUAGUUAAACCUGAUGGGGAGGGGGUGAAAUUAAAAUGUGUAUGUGUAUUUAUGUGGCUAAGUACCAGCUUGUCUGUGUGUGUGUGUGUGAGAGAGAGAGAGAGAGAGAGAGAGAGCGAGAGAGAGAGAAACCUAAAUUUGUGUGCAUGUCUCUGUCCUUCUGUCCUUCUGUGUGGCUGAAUUUCAGCUCAGACCCCUGUCGCCGGAGCAGCAGCUCCUUCGAGCCAGCGUGAGAAGGUUGGCAGCCCUACCAGGCUCCUCAUAGGAAUCCUCCAGGAUUAGCUGUCAAUCUCCACUGCUCUCCUCUCAGAUGGGUCCGGACAGGUCUGGAUGAACAUAAAUUCUGAAUCUCCUGUGGGCCACGUUUCUUCCAUAAGAUUCCCCUCUGUCUGCUGGAAUGAGCAGAGUGAGAUCAGACUGAGGCCUCAUUCUGGGGGCUCCCCUCUAAAUCACAGUGCCCCGAGGCCGCCUUAGAGCCCCGUGCUCCUGGGACAUCAGGGUCUUGGGAAGGCAACAACACUCUUCCUGGCAGGGAUGGAGGUCCUCCUUAGCCCCUCCCCACUGUGGCCCCAGCCUGGAAAGACCCCAGUGCUCAAAGGACACGGAUCCCAAGGGGCAGACAUGACAUCCGCCUCUGUCUCUCUCCCAGGUGUCACUAACUAAGGGACCCUGGAGCCAGUGCCUUUCCUGCUCUUGCCCUCAUUUCUAACGACCCUGAAGUUGUACCUGUGACAGGGGCCCAGAGACCCACCUUCUCUGUAGAUUUCAAGCCCAUUCCUUCCCAGGAAGCCCCUCAGGCCUGGGGAAGCAUCUGGGGUGUGGAAGGAGUACUUGCCUUCACCUCCAGACCUGCCUCCGCACUCACUGGCUGGGGGGUCUGUGGCCAGUGGGCUCCCCAAGCCCCUCUCCUCCCCUGAAGCAGAGGUUAGAUUCACGUCCACCUCAGCUGAGACAAACAACUGAGUUCUGUGCAGUGUAAACUCUUGGUGAAAGAACUUUGCCCAACUUUUUCUCUAUCGUGUAUGUAAAAUACCUUUUGCUCUUUGUUAUCUGUACAAGUUUCUUCUGGUUAAAGAUAAUACAUCCUUUUUCAGUGUUUACUUUCAACAUCUCUGAACUCUUAUGUUGUAGAUGUAAAUGGGAUAGAGUGGAAUUUUGUCUUUUAUCCAGUCUCACAAUCUUUAACAAGAUUAUUCAAUCCCCUUUAACAGUUUCUGAUUUAUUUCUUGUUAAAUGUAACAUUUUUUCAUAAUGGUAUUGUAGUGCUAUAUUUUUAAGUCCUUAUCUGGUAAAGAUACAUCCUAAAAUAUUUAUGAAUAAAAUGAUGUGAUGUCUGG